rnacentral:rRNA from 1 species
AGCAGCCGCGGUAAUUCCAGCUCCAAUAGCGUAUAUUAAAGUUGUUGCAGUUAAAAAGCUCGUAGUUGAAUUUCGGGAUCAAUUUGCUGGUCGUGCCUUCGGUACGCACUGGUAUUAUUGGUUUCUCCUUUCUGAUGAAUCGCGAUGUCAUUAAUUUGGUGUCGUGGGGAAUCAGGACUGUUACUUUGAAAAAUUAGAGUGUUUAAAGCAGGCUCACGCUUGAAUACAUUAGCAUGGAAUAAUGAAAUAGGACGUUUGAUUCUAUUUUGUUGGUUUCUAGGAUCGACGUAAUGAUUAAUAGGGAUAGUUGGGGGCAUUAGUAUUCAAUUGUCAGAGGUGAAAUUCUUGGAUUUAUUGAAGACUAACUACUGCGAAAGCAUUUGCCAAGGAUGUUUUCAUUAAUCAAGAACGAAAGUUAGGGGAUCGAAGACGAUCAGAUACCGUCGUAGUCUUAACCAUAAACUAUGCCGACUAGGGAUCGGAUGAUGUUAAUUUUUAANGUACUCAUUCGGCGCCUUAA